CGGAACCGAACCCGGACGUGUCCCCGUAAAAAAACCGGAUUGGAUAAUCGGCGACAGGUCCGAACAUUGUAAUUGGGGGGAUUGGUUCUGGUUGGGGGUCUUCGGUCAAAAUAGAAAAAAAACGCAAAAACGAUUACAGGGACGAAGAACAAGUAGCAGUAUCGCAAAGUCGGCGCUCGGAAAAAACCCUAGACUCCCUCCCCCAAUUCGAUCAACAAAGUAAGACUUCAAAUUUUAGGGUUUUUUUUUUUUUUUUUUUUUUUUUUUUGCCUGCGAUUGUUCAAUUCAGGACUAUCAGUUGAGAACUUGAGAUGGUUUAAUUUUUAAUAUUUUUUUGGUUUUUUUUGGUGGUUAGAUCGGUCCCUGAGGAGGCUAUGUGCUCGUUUUUC
rnacentral:lncRNA from 1 species